CCUUUGACGCUUGGUUCGCAAAUAGUUCUUGUUAUCACGAGGUGUGUACGUCAGGUUUAUUGAUCCACCAACUUGCCGACUUGCCAACUCAUGGGCUGCUUUCGGUACAAUUCCCGAAUCAUCUGCAGUUUCAAUAUCAAAAGCUUGCAAGGUUGAUAUCUUUCGUUGUGAUGGCAUCAAGUGGCAUGUUCCAGGCAACUGCAAGACAUGGUUAUGAUCAGUGACUAACUCAUGUACUUCAUAAUUUCCCGUUUCUCGGUCGAUGGUGAUUCCUAUUCGAACCUUGCAACCAGUCCUGGUUUCUGCACGAGGACGCUUGGUAUUAUGAUCUCUUUUGUCUAUUCUUCUGUAGCCUUCAUUGGAACAAACGUAUCUCGCGGAAGUUAUUGCACCAUCAAGUUUGCUCUUAUUUUCAUAAUUUACCCUUACGUCAAAACCAAUAUGACCUCCAUAACAAGUCCAAAAGUUCCAAGCCUCUUUUGUGGAAUUAAAUUUCAUACCAAUUUGAGGCAUCCAACUAGGAAUCAUAUUAUUUGUCAUGUAAAGGCAUAUCUUAAUUUAUUUGUCUAGUCACACUAUAAGAAUAUGAUGACAUAGCCUGAGAAUUUAACAAAAUUGCGUGUACCUGUUCGAAUCUUUAUUGGAGUUGGUCAUACUCUCCAUCAAACCUUGUCUUCUCCUUUUUGUAAUCUGUGAUUGCAUAGCAAACUCAGCCUAGAGGAAAUCUCUUGCUACCUUGAGAACAUGAAUACAAUCAGUGCAUAUGUCACAUACCUUGAGAUUUAUCGACUUCCUUUUUGUUGCUAGGAGAAGGAAGGUAAAAGGGAGAUCAUCUACAUUAAUCUCCUGUCAGGUAAUGGAAAUCCCAAACAUUUCAUGAGCAAAGCACCUAUGGUACAACUUCCACGUACAGAUCUGACUAUAUUCAUGUAUUUUAUCUUGAGGUUGUCCAAAACAAUAGAGAUCACUUCUGCUAUAAUCACUUUUUUCCACUAACAUCAUCUAGAAGAUGUAGAAAUAAAUUUUACAUCUCAUCCGUUCUUUAUCACUUCUGAUAUUCUACUAGUUGUUCGGGUUGUUCGGAGGGUUCGACUCCUCUGCAAUUUCGCUACUGCUGAAUUUAUCAAAAUUGAUGGUACCUGUUUGAAUCUUCAUUGGAGUUGGUCAUAUGCUCCACUAGACCUUGCACAAAUUCAGUAUAGGAGUUGUCUUGUUGCCUUCAGAACAUGAACAGAAUCAGACCACAUGUUAGAUCCCUAGAGAUUGAUCCGCUUCUUUUUUGUUGCUAGGAGAAUGGCAAAGGGGAGAUCAACAACACCACUUACAAAUCAGCGACAGGAGGACGAUCAGAGAUAGACAAAAGGGAGAUCUCUAUGCCAACGUGUGUUCUGGUUACAAGGAGGACGAAGACGGGCGGCGCGAAGGCAUGGAGAUAUUUGGCGCCAACCUGCGUUCUGUUUAGCGCCAACUUGCCGUACGAGUUUUUUUAGGGGAUCUGCCGUAGGAGAUUUUGCAGCCAACAGUUCAGGUGUUUGUUGUCAUUUAUUAUAAAAGAAUUAAAGGAGGAAAUAAGAGCGGUCAGAUUGAAAUUAACGGUUGAUGUACACCGGUGCUGUAAUAGCUGCACUGCAGAGGAGCCGGACCCGCGACCGGCGCGUCGGUUCGGCCGGCGCGCUGGUUGGAAACGAUUCCCUUCGGUUAUGCAAUGGAAUAAAAGGAAAGAAAGAAAAGAUGCACGAUUUAAGGGUCGCAAAAGAUCCUUCUCUCCUGACGGCGUCUCUCUUCUCUUCUCUGUUUUCCUUUAGCCUGUUUUCCUUUAGCCUCGUGCGUGCGUUGUGUUUUUCAGAGAAAAGUUCAGGGGAGAAAGGGUAGAUCGCUGCUUGAAACCUAACACGCAGUGCUCCGGCCGAGCUCGCGCUCGUGCUUGGGUUGACCUCCGUGUCUCGCCUCCAGCUCUCUGGUGCCGCGGGAAGGGCGCCCCCGUAUAGAUCUGCUUCCUCGACGUCACGGAGGUCUCCAAGGCGCAGAUCAGCCUCGGCCCCGAGCUCUUCUUCCCCUGUUUCGCGAUCCAGAAAGCUCGCCGUGUG
rnacentral:lncRNA from 1 species